rnacentral:rRNA from 1 species
UACGGGGGGGGCAAGCGUUGUUCGGAAUUAUUGGGCGUAAAGCGUCCGCAGGUGGCAGUUCAAGUCUGCUGUCAAAGACCGGGGCUUAACUUCGGAAAGGCAGUGGAAACUGAACAGCUAGAGUAUGGUAGGGGCAGAGGGAAUUCCUGGUGUAGCGGUGAAAUGCGUAGAGAUCAGGAAGAACAUCGGUGGCGAAGGCGCUCUGCUGGACCAUAACUGACACUCAGGGACGAAAGCUAGGGGAGCGAAUGGGA